rnacentral:rRNA from 1 species
UCCGAUGGUGAACCUGCGGAGGGAUCAUUACAGAGUUGCAAAACUCCCUAAACCAUCGUGGACGCUACCUUCAACCGUUGCUUCGGCGGGCGGCUCGCCCCUGGCGCCCCUGUGGCGCCCGGGCGCGCGCCCCCCGGCCCCCCCGCGGGGCGCCCGCCGGAGGUACCCAACUCUUGGCAAUUUUUGGCCUCUCUGAGUCUUCUGUACUGAAUAAGUCAAAACUUUCAACAACGGAUCUCUUGGUUCUGGCAUCGAUGAAGAACGCAGCGAAAUGCGAUAAGUAAUGUGAAUUGCAGAAUUCAGUGAAUCAUCGAAUCUUUGAACGCACAUUGCGCCCGCCAGUAUUCUGGCGGGCAUGCCUGUUCGAGCGUCAUUUCAACCAUCAAGCCCACGGCUUGUGUUGGGGACCUGCGGCUGCCCGCAGGCCCUGAAAACCAGUGGCGGGCUCGCUGUCACCCCGAGCGUAGUAGCAAUCACCUCGCUCAGGGCGUGCUGCGGGUGCCGGCCGUUAAACCUGCCUUCGUGCACCCCAAGGUUGACCUCGGAUCAGGUAGGAAGACCCGCUGAACUUAAGCAUAUCAAUAAGCGGAGGA